UACGGGCAAACGGGUGGAACCGCCGGUGCGACCAGCGGAAUCCAGCUCGCCGGGCUCAGGCGGCUCCUCGCGGCUGUCGAGACUCGACCUUCUCGGAGGUUGGGCUCGGCGACUCGAGUGGGUCCGUCCCCGUCGGCGUAUCUUCCGCUGCUUGUCGCGAGUCGCGACCGGCUCGAAGUGCUUCGUCUCGGCUGGUGUCAGGCGAGGGGCGCGCCUCUCGGGGCGUCUGCACCCGUCUUCGGACUGCCUGCACCGGUCGGUCUGACGGCGAACGUAGCUUCGGGCCGAGGAACGGCCCCGUUCCCGCUCCCGACCAAAGUCUCCCGGCGACGUCGCGGCCGUCUUGACUGCCUCUACGAGGCUUAACAGUGCAAGCGCGGUCGCUCGGUCGGCGUCGGCGAGGCGGCGGGCUUGGGGAACGGUCUUAGAGGGUCCGCGGCUGGCCGUGGCGGCACUAUUCCCGACCCGUCUUGAAACACGGACCAAGGAGUCUAACGUGAGCGCGAGUCACAGGGAAAAACACUCCCUUGGGGCGCAGCGAAAGCGACGUGGUCCGAUCCUUCCUCGGGUGAGGGGGGCGCAGGACCGGCCCGUCGGGGGUUGUUACGGCCUCGGCGGAGCAAGAGCGCCCGCGUUGGGCCCCGAAAGAUGGUGAACUAGGCCCGAGCGGGACGAAGCCGGGAGAAAUGCUGGUGGAGGUCCUAAGUGGUUCUGACGCGCAAAUCGAUCACGGAACUGGGGCGUAGGGCCCAAAGACUCAUCGAACCAUCUAGUAGCUGGUUCCCUCCGAAGUUUCCCCCAGGAUAGCUGGCGCUCCCCGAGACAGUUUCGUCCGGUAAAGCGAAUGAUUAGAGGAGUCCGUGCCGAAAUGGCGUGGAGCUAUUGUCAAACUUUGAACGGGCGAGAAGGGGUGCCUACCGCUCGAUCUGGGAGGCUCGGCCCCCGUCGAAAUUACGAGUCCCAAGUUGGCAU
rnacentral:rRNA from 1 species